GAAGAAAUUUUGAGAUGAAUGGCUUGAUAAGCAAAACCCAUGGUGGUCACAGCAUUGGAGACUGAAGAGGGCGAGAGCGACUGAACGAUGGAGCAAAUGAGCAAAGCAGUAGCAAACCCGAGC